rnacentral:lncRNA from 1 species
UUAAAUAAGAAAAGAUUAACUAUCUUAAACCCUAAACCUUGAUUAUAAUCUGCAUCCUUAAAUAUUAAAUAAUAAAUCUAAUCUACAUCCUUAAAUAUUUAUCGUAUAAUUAAUUAUUUUUAUUUUUUAUUUUGAUAUAUUAGUUAAUCAUAAAAAUAUGUGUAUAUUUUUAUCUUUAGCAUUUAAUAAAUAUUUUUUUGAAUAUUUUUUGUAUUAUUUAAAAUAAAACCUUUUUAUUAAAAUUAGAAUUGUUCUUACUGUUUAAAAUUUUGAGCGAUUCACUUGCAUAUAUUGAUUUCUAUAUUUACAAGAAGAAGAAGAAGAAGUGAAAAAAAACAAUGUUUUUUUUAAUAUUUAAACGGUUUUUAUAUUAAAAAAUUGUGUGUUUUUUUUAAAUGACAACUGCAGAAAAUUAAGAUUUAAAAAAAAAAAAAAAAAACAGAACCAAACGCUAAACAAUCUGUUUGCUAAACCGUAAUAGACCAUGAAACCCUAAUCGAUAGAGAAGGACAAAAGUAGUGAUCGCUACCAUCAAAUGGAACCCGCCAGAAUCUUCUUCCGCAGAGACGCUAUAUCGACUGCGGUUCAUCGCAUAAAUUGGAGCACCAGAGCUGAAGCAAGCCAGUAGAUUGAGAAGCUUCCAUUGGUAAGGAAACCGAAAGAUGGAGUAACUUUCGUCGGGAGAAAAUCAGAAAACCAAAGUAGUGAGCAUGGACUAUCAGACGCAAUAGAAAGGCACAGCAAAGAUGAGAAGCUGAAAAAGAAAAGAAAAGACACUACAAGAUUAAGGAAACCACCGGAUCCAGUAUAUAUCGCCGUAUGGAGCAUGAGUUUGGAUAGAUAAAGACCAUAUCUGGCAACCCACUCGCCUCCACCACCUCCAACAGCCCACUGUAUCGAGCUCAGUUCGUCGUCCUCGAAACAAACAUCCACAUCCGAUAGGAAAAACCAUCAGGGUCCAAAUCUAGAGAAACUAGCUAUAGGCGUUAAUCAUCUAAUAAUUGUUUCUCCUUAAUACCCUAUAUCUAUAUUAUCAAAAGAGAAAUACCCAUUAAAAAUACUCC